rnacentral:rRNA from 1 species
ACCGGCUCAUUACAACAGCCAUAGUUUAUUGGAUCUUUACCUUCUUACACGGAUAACUGCGGUAAUUCUGGAGCUACUACGUGCAUUAAACGACGACCUUACGGAAGUCGUGCAUUUGUUAGACCAAACCAAUCGGUCUUCGGACCGCCAUUUGGUGAACUCUGAAUAACUUUGCUGAUCGCACAGUCUCGUACUGGCGACAAAUCUUUCAAGUGUCUGCCUUAUCAACUUUCGAUGGUAGUUUAUACGCCUACCAUGGUUGUAACGGGUAACGGAGAAUAAGGGUUCGACUCCGGAGAGGGAGCCUGAGAAACGGCUACCACAUCCAAGGAAGGCAGCAGGCGCGCAAAUUACCCACUCGCAGAACGCGGAGGUAGUGACGAAAAAUAACGAGGUGGCUCUCUACGAGGUCCGCCAUCGGAAUGGGUACAAUUUAAAUCCUUUAACGAGGAUCUAUUGGAGGGCAAGUCUGGUGCCAGCAGCCGCGGUAAUUCCAGCUCCAAUAGCGUAUAUUAAAGUUGUUGCGGUUAAAAAGCUCGUAGUUGGAUCUGCGUUCGGUGAAAGCGGUCGCCCGACGGGUUGUACUGCUUCUCCCGAACUAAUCAUUCGGUUUUCCCUUGAUGCUCUUCAUUGAGUGUCCUGGGUGACCGGAACUUUUACUUUGAAAAAAUUAGAGUGCUCAAAGCAGGCGAUUCGCCCGAAUAUUCGUGCAUGGAAUAAUGAAAAAGGUCCUUGUAGCCUUUUAUUGGUUAUUGCUAUGAGGAAAUGAUCGAAGGGGACAGACGGGGGCAUUUGUAUUGCGACGUUAGAGGUGAAAUUCUUGGAUCGUCGCAAGACAAACUACUGCGAAAGCAUUUGCCAAGAAUGUUUUCAUCAAUCAAGAACGAAAGUCUGAGGUUCGACAGCGAUCAGAUACCGCUUUAGUUCAGACCGUAAACGAUGCCAUCUGGCGAUCCAUGGGUGUUAUGUAUGACUCCAUGGGCAGCCACCGGGAAACCUUUAAGUUGGGUUCCGGGGGAAGUAUGGUUGCAAAGCUGAAACUUAAAGGAAUUGACGGAAGGGCACCACCAGGAGUGGAGCCUGCGGCUUAAUUUGACUCAACACGGGAAAACUCACCCGGCCCGGACACUGUAAGGAUUGACAGAUUGAUAGCUCUUUCUUGAUUCGGUGGGUGGUGGUGCAUGGCCGUUCUUA